GACCGCGUAGCUCAGUUGGAAGAGCAUUGGGCUAGUAUUCCAAAGGUCGUAGGUUCGAUUUCCACCGUGGUCA